UAGGGGUUGCUCGUCCAGUCAG
rnacentral:miRNA from 1 species